rnacentral:sRNA from 1 species
AGCUACAUCCGUCACCUGACACGGCCCUACCAGGAACAGCCGCGCUCCCGCGGAUUCUGGUGCUGCUCGCGUCCCCGCUCCCCUAUUCCCCUUAUUUUAUUCCUGGCUCCCCUCGUCGAAAGUCUUCCAUUCUUCAAACUAGAUUAUUUAAAAAUGAAAAAGGAAGAAAGGAAAGCGAGGUCAUCUCAUUGCUCUAUCCGCCAAUCAGGAGGCUGAAUGUCAGUUUUGAACUAAAAGCCGCUCCGCUCCUCUUCUAGAUUUGGAAAACAAGCGAAAUUAAACUAAACCGCUGCACGCCUCUGACGCGACAUCUGGACACGGCGCGGCGCUGGCGCUGCCGGAGCUGUCGACCCGGCCUGGCGCCGGACUAGGACUAUUUGCCACGACAUUUCAAAGGAUUCCAAGAGAGAAUAUUGGUGUCCAUGCUGUGAUGAUUCCUCAGCUCCUCUCAUCUGAUCUCCGUCCUGGCCCCCAUGACUUUCUUUGUGGUAGUUAGGGUGUGGUAUGUGCCACUGAGGCCCACACCUAUUGCUAUAUUGAGAAACCACAGAAAGAGAGAAGUUAAAUAAUUUUCCUGUCAAAGACCACAUCAAUGAUGAAGCCAGAAUUUGAGCUCAUGUACUUAACCACUGGACUACCUGCCUGCCCUGUCGAGGAACAGCUAAGUGUCCCUUUUGAUGAGAAGAAUAAGCCUCAUUCUGAUUCAACAGCAGAGAUCAAAGAAAAGACUUCUGUUUUCUGGCCACCAGAUAUAUGUUAUCUGUGCUUAAAGAAUUGAAAAACACACAUCAAAGGAGAAUUUUCUUGGAAAGAGAGGGUUCAAGCAUCACUGUUAGGUGUGCUGGAAUCCUUUCCCGAGUCAGUACUGCUUUCUAGAAGAAAACCGGGGAGAUCUAUUUGGAAUGUAUCUAACUCCAAAGAAACCAUCAGAGGUAACAGUAGAGACGGGGUUUCACCAUGUUGGCCAGACUGGUCUUGAACUCUCGACCUCGUGAUUCGCCCGCCUCGGCCUCCCAAAGUGCUGGGAUUACAGGUGUGAGACACCACACCCGGCGGAUAGAGAGAAUUUUGACAGGCUUUGGUAUCAGGAUGAUUCUGGCCUCAUAAAAUGAGUUGGGGAGAAUUCCCUCUUUUUCUAUUGAAUGGAAUAGUUUCAGAAGGAAUGGUACCAGCUCCUCUUUGUACCUCUGGUAGAAUUCGGCUGUGAAUCCAUCUGGUCCUGGACUUUUUUUGGUUGGUACCAGAGAUAUAAUAAUGAGAAACAGACAUGCUCCCUCCCCUCAUUGAGGUUACAGCUUAGUGUGGAGACACACAGAUGCCUAACGCACUAUGGUAUGGAAGGUGCUAUGGACACAGUGCUCAAAUCCAUGAUCUACAUAGGUGGAGAACUUCAGUAGAGGAAGUGGCAGGAAUUUGGGAAUGAGGAGCACAGUGAUUAAACUGGGGCCAUUCAUAUGAGAGUUUAAGAACUCAGACCAGUGACUUAGAUUGGCUUCUCUCACAUGGCAAGAAACAUUGCUGCUAGCACUUCCCGAGUUCUACGUUCUACAACAUCCACCACUGGAUCUUAACAUAGACGUAAGAUCAAAUGCAAUAGCAUGUCAAACAAUGUGUAACUCCAGUUAUACAAACAUUACUGUAUCUCAUUGGGGAUACGAAGCUCUACACACUUGAAGAUGGUGAAGGAAUAUAAAAAUCUAUGUCUCACAGUCCAGACUUGGAGUACAAGUAAUAAGAAGAAUAAAACUUAAUCCCUUAAGUAGAUUCACCAUAAGUUAGCUCAGAGCAAUUCCAGUGCAAGUAUGGUCUGUGAUCCAGUAGUAUCUUACAGACAGCAAGUUGAACAUUGUGGGAUGCAUGAGCUAUUGAGGCCUUUGCAGCUUUCUGCUACAUGGAGGCUAGGGCCAGAGUCAAGAUUUAUGCUUUGCAGCACACUGGUCAGCUGUUUUUGCAAAUCAGAUUAAAUGAUUUUUAAAUGAGGCUGAGAGCAUGGGAGAUACUAAUGUGUGUUUCCUUGUGAGCUACUGCAUAAGUUAGGAAAUUGAAAUACAGAAAGAUGAAAAGUGAUUUGCCCAAGCAUAUAGAUCAAAGCUGUGGCAGAACCAGGACUGGAACCUAUAUCUCUCUACUAAUGGUUUUUUUAAAAAAAUAACCUUGUUUCAAAAAUAUUAAAAAGUCACAAGAAAGGUAAACAUGUGGAUAAACAAAAUGAAGAAAAUAAAAAUUAUCCAGUAAUAACAUAUUGGCAUAUGUCUUUCUGGUAUAUUUUCCUGUGUUGUCAUCAUUAUCAUCUCCAUCAUCAUUAUAUCCAUCAUUAUCAUCAUCAUCAUCAUCAUCAUCAUCAUUAUCAUCACCAUAGUGAACAUGUAAUGCUUACCUAGUGCCAGAUGCUGUCUAGGCAUUUUACAUGUGUUACUGGUAACUCAUGUAAUCCUCAUAACAACCUUAUAAGGUGGUUGCUAUUAUCCCCAUGUUACAUAUGAAGAGACAGAAGCAUAAAGAAGUUGCACCGCUGGUAAUUGGCUGGGAUUUGAACUUAAGCAGUCUAACCUUAGAGUAAUGAUUUUAACAACUAUGCUAUAUACAUACAAAUUUACAAAAUAAAACUGGGCUCAGACAAUAAAAAAAAAAAAAAAAAAAAAAAAA